CCCUUAGAUGUUCUGGGCCGCACGCGUGCUACACUGAGUGGAUCAGCGGGUCAGGUUGCGCGAAAGUGUUUCCUAAUCUUUAAAUCCGCUCGUGAUGGGGAUUGACGGUUGCAAUUUUCCGUCAUGAACGAGGAAUACCUUGUAAGCGCGGGUCAUCAUCCCGCGCUGAAUACGUCCCUGCCCUUUGUACACACCGCCCGUCGCUCCUACCGAUUGAGUGGUCCGGUGAGGCUUUGGGAUCUGAGCGGAAAGAGCGUUUCGCUGUUUCUGCCCGGAAAACUCAGUCGAACCUUAUCAUUUAGAGGAAGGAGAAGUCGUAAUA
rnacentral:rRNA from 1 species